rnacentral:rRNA from 1 species
AUACGGAAGGUCCGGGCGUUAUCCGGAUUUAUUGGGUUUAAAGGGAGCGCAGGCGGAGAUGCAAGCGUGACGUCAAAUUUCGGGGCUCAACCCCGUCUCGCGUCGCGAACUGCGUCCCUUGGUUGCGGGAAGGGGAGGCGGAACUCGUGGUGUAGCGGUGAAAUGCAUAGAUAUCACGAAGAACUCCGAUCGCGAAGGCAGCCUUCCGGCCCGUCAACGACGCUCAUGCUCGAAGGUGCGGGUAUCAAACAGGAUUAGAUACCCUGGUAGUCCGCACAGUAAACGAUGAACACCCGCGGUUUGGCCUGUAUGGCUGAGCCGCCAAGCGAAAGCGUUAAGUGUCCCACCUGGGGAGUACGCCGGCAACGGUGAAACUCAAAUGAAUUGGCGGGG